rnacentral:rRNA from 1 species
UACGAGAGGCCCAAACGUUAUUCGGAAUUACUGGGCUUAAAGAGUUCGUAGCCGGCAUGAAAAGUAGGGUGUGAAAGCCCUCGGCUUAACCGAGGAAUUGCGCUCUAAACUGUCGUGCUAGAGGAACCUAGAGGUGAGCAGAACAGAUGGUGGAGCAGUGAAAUGCGUUGAUAUCAUCUGGAAUACCGGAGGCGAAGGCGGCUCACUGGGGGUUUUCUGACGCUGAGGAACGAAAGCCAGGGUAGCGAACGGG